rnacentral:rRNA from 1 species
ACGGGUGAGUAACGCGUGGGUGAUCUGCCUCCGAGUGGGGAAUAACACCGGGAAACUGGUGCUAAUACCGCAUGACAUCGCUGGUUCGUUCUGGCGAUCAAAGCCGGGGACCGCAAGGCCUGGUGCUUGGAGAGGAGCCCGCGUCCGAUUAGCUAGUUGGUGGGGUAAUGGCCCACCAAGGCAACGAUCGGUAGCCGGCCUGAGAGGGCGGACGGCCACACUGGGACUGAGACACGGCCCAGACUCCUACGGGAGGCAGCAGUGGGGAAUUUUUCGCAAUGGGGGAAACCCUGACGAAGCAACGCCGCGUGGAGGAUGAAGGCCUUCGGGUCGUAAACUCCUGUCGGCCGGGACGAAAGUGGUCCGACCCAACACGUCGGGCCAUCGACUGUACCGGUGGAGGAAGCCACGGCUAACUCUGUGCCAGCAGCCGCGGUAAUACAGAGGUGGCAAGCGUUGUUCGGAAUUACUGGGCGUAAAGGGCGCGUAGGCGGCCUCGUAAGUCCUGUGUGAAAUCCCCCGGCUCAACUGGGGAACUGCACAGGAAACUGCGAGGCUUGAGUUCGGGAGAGGGAAGCGGA